CCAAUACACAGUAAUAUAAACAUGUAUCUCACAUUCAAAUAUGCAACGUAGCACUAAAACUUAAUCUUCAACUCAUUAUCAUUCACAUUCACAGUCAAAUAUUCACCAAAACGUAUUAUAAGCUAACCAAUUACAAAUAUAAGCUAAUGUUCCAUAAAUGUUAAACAAUAUAAUUUACAAUAGUUGUACAGACGCAAUUAAAUAAUAAAAUAUAUACAAAAGUUCUACAAUAACAUGAAUAUAUACAAAUGAACUAUAAACUAGUAAAAGUAUCAUCAUCGGGCGUAGGUGAACGAAGCUGCUCUAGUGUAUGGAAAUCAGCCUCAUGCUCCUGUUCAUCAUCGCCAGCCUGCUCGCCAUUGCCACCCUGUUGAUAGAAUCAAAAAUAUAAAUCAUUAGUUCGUAUAUAUAUAUGUGAGAAUUAACAAACUAACCUUAAUCGAAUAACAUAAGAAAUAAGAAUACCUGAGUAGGUGGAGGUGGACGAAAAGCCUCUUCCAAGAGGGUAAUCACCAUCCAGAGCAUCUCGACGCUCUAAGCGUCGAACUGCUCCCGUGGCAAUCCCGUACUCUAUGCAGAAGCCCCUGCUAUAAUAUCCUGAGAAAUCUGGUGAAGACGAGAACUGGAAGGCAACUGCUGACGCUGAAAGACCGAAUCGGUAUGGAACCUAUCCGACACGGCCCCUAUCAGCCGCCGGAAGAUAUCGUCAUCCAAGCCAGCGCCCGUAUGAGAUUGUCCGACAUGUGCUCUCGGACGCUGGCGCUGGCUGGAGCCUAUAAAGAGAUAUAAAUUUGAUUACUAAUAAUAAUUUAUAUAAUGUGAUAAAUUCAGAUAAUUUCAUGAAACAUAAAAAAAUAUUACCUCCAGGAAGUGUAUAUGCGGGUAUCCUCGGUAAUGUGAUAAAUUCGAUAUCUGCCAGUACUGCUAGUAGGGGGAUCCUGAGACGUGACCCAGAGUCUCAGCUCCUCAUCCCGAUCUAAUACAAUAUCGGGAAGAGGGGUGGCGGAAUCUAACGGCUCAGAACCCCUCCUAAUAGUCUCCAGCUCAGCUAUACGCUCGUCCCGAAGCCUCUGAAAUCGGUCCUGUAAUGUAUUCCUUAUACGUAUGUUAAUUAUAUCAUUUUAUUUAUGAUUGAAUAUUAUUAAAAGCUAAAUAGUAAGAUGAGUUUUACCCGUAUAGCUAAAGCUGCCUGAGACAAAGCACGCUCGUCCUUAGGCGUGUGGGCUCGAUCCCAAAACUCUAG
rnacentral:lncRNA from 1 species